rnacentral:tRNA from 1 species
CAUACUCGCCGAAUGGAUAAGGCACUUGACUUAGAAUCAAGCUACUACAGGUUCAAAUCCUGUGUAUGACA